rnacentral:rRNA from 1 species
ACACUCCUACGGGAGGCAGCAGUGGGGAAUUUUGGACAAUGGGCGAAAGCCUGAUCCAGCAAUGCCGCGUGAGUGAAGAAGGCCUUCGGGUUGUAAAGCUCUUUUGUCAGGGAAGAAACGGUGAGAGCUAAUAUCUCUUGCUAAUGACGGUACCUGAAGAAUAAGCACCGGCUAACUACGUGCCAGCAGCCGCGGUAAUACGUAGGGUGCAAGCGUUAAUCGGAAUUACUGGGCGUAAAGCGUGCGCAGGCGGUUUUGUAAGUCUGAUGUGAAAUCCCCGGGCUCAACCUGGGAAUUGCAUUGGAGACUGCAAGGCUAGAAUCUGGCAGAGGGGGGUAGAAUUCCACGUGUAGCAGUGAAAUGCGUAGAUAUGUGGAGGAACACCGAUGGCGAAGGCAGCCCCCUGGGUCAAGAUUGACGCUCAUGCACGAAAGCGUGGGGAGCAAACAGGAUUAGAAACCCCAGUAGUCCCAUGA